UACGUAGGCAGCAAGCGUUGUUCGGAAUUACUGGGCGUAAAGGAGUGUGUAGGCGGUGUUCUAAGUUUGUCGUGAAAUCUCCCGGCUUAACUGGGAGGGUGCGGCGAAAACUGGAAUGCUAGAGGAUGGGAGAGGUAAGCGGAAUUCCUGGUGUAGCGGUGAAAUGCGUAGAUAUCAGGAGGAACACCUGUGGUGUAGACAGCUUACUGGACCAUUUCUGACGCUGAGACACGAAAGCGUGGGUAGCAAACAGG
rnacentral:rRNA from 1 species